GGCUGGUCUGAGUGCAGUGGUGCUUACAACUAACUUAUCACAACCAGUUAUAGAUUUCGUUGUCUGUUCCUUGUCCACUCCCACUGCCUCACUUGACUAGCCUAAA
rnacentral:Y_RNA from 1 species